GCGUGCACGUCGCUAUGGUAACGGCCGCCGGCGCGCAGGGAUAGGGGGCGGGGCAAGGAGGAGGGAGGAGGCCGCGGGGCGGGGCCGAAGAGGAGUGGAGAGAAGUGAAAGCAGGAGUGGCCAGGCCAGGGUCAGGAGGAGAGUGGAGGGGAAGAUGAGAAGAGAGGGGAGGGGCAGGAUGGGGGAGGAAAAGGCUGGCUUCCCUCUAUACUCCAGAGCCAGCGGGGAGGCUGGGAGAAAGCUACUCUUAAGUCAUUGAUUUGCCAGUUACACCUCGUAGCCUCUCGGAAAUCCCUGGGAGAUCUCAGAACCUUCUAGAAUAAUUGGGUGCCUCCCCGCCCCUCCCCCCAGCCCUUUUCCAGGGGGCUUGUCCCGAGAGCUGCGGAAUCCAGUCAGGUUCCUAAAUGUUGCUCCUUAGCACGCUGUGAACUUUGCCCCACACUCAUUAGCAUCAGUGUUUAGGAUGGGUUAGGACAUCAGUAACUGUUGAUCUGAGACUGCUGACCCUUUCUGAGUCCUGGGCAUUAAAUAACAGAAGAUGAUGUGGGGAUUAGGUUAUUUUCUAUCCACUUGUGGGUUUGUAGCCGGACGAGCCACAGACAAGAACCGCUCAGACACCGAGUUAUGGAAGGAAAGGGCUUUAUUCAGCUGGGAGCAUUGGCGGACUCACAUCUUCGAAAACCGAGCUCCCGGAGUGAGCAAUUCCUGUCCCUUUUAAGGGCAUACAACUCUAAGAGGGUCUGCGUGAGUGGGUCGUGAUCGAUUGAGCAAGUAGUGGGUGAAGUCUGAUUACCCUGGCUGUCUUCAGCAAGAAUCCUUUGAGAUGAGUUUAACCAGAAUUCUCUUUACCUCUGAUAUUUCCUCUUAGUAAUUUUUCAUCCACUGACCCUCAGCCUGCUCUUUGCUAUAAAUUUCUACUUGCUUAUGCUAUAUUCGGAGUUGAACCCAAUCCCUCCCCCAACUACAAGACCCUGUUGCAGUAAUUCCUAUAUCUAUUGCAAUGGUCUUGAACGCACUCUGCCUGUCCAUGCCUUAAUAAGAUCAUUGAAUAAUUUUUUCUUUAACACCCCUCAACUAAUUUAGGUACAUUUCAACACUCACCUCUAACUUUGCCACUUCUAUGCAGUUUCCUCAUAUCUUUCAAAUACAGUGAGAUAUCAUCCUUCCAAUGCUGUAGUAGCACCAAUAGCAUUGACCACCUUGUAUUAGUAAUCAGUAAUUGUUCACAACUCUGCUUCCCACAACUUUGAGUUCACUGAGGGCACAGCCCUUCACCUGGUCAUUUUUGUAUCUCUGAGGUAUCUGGUACAUGAAAUCUUAAUGAAAUG